rnacentral:piRNA from 1 species
CUGGGCGGGAAUUAGGAUUGCGAC